CCCCGCACCGCUCGUUUCCCGCAGUGAAACGAAACCAAAACCGAACCCAACGCGGAAAGGGGCGGUGGGCGUGGCCUCACAUAAACCCCGCCCACUUCAGGUCACGCCCACUUUCUCGAGCCACGCCCCCCUUCAGGCACCGCCUCUGCGGUUGGCCUAACGGCGUAGGCCACGCCCCCAUUUUAGGCCACGCCCCUUUCAGCCCCGGUUCCCGUUUGUCCAUCCUGGCUUUGGCCCCGCCCCCGCUUUAGGCCCCGCCCCCUUUCAGGUCCCACAUCCGCCUCCACGCAGGCCACGCCCUCCUUUAAGGCCACGCCCCCGUUAAAAGCCCCGCCUCUGCGGUUGGUCCUCCUCUCCGUAGACCCCGCCCCCCGCCUUAGGCCCCGCCCCCUUCUGGGCCCGACUCCUCCGCUGAUUCGCCUCCUCUUCGGCCCCGCCCCCUACGCCGGCCCCGCCCCCUACGUCGACCCCGCCGCUCACGUCGGCCCCGCCUCCAUUCAGGCCCCGCCCACUGCGCGGAGCGGAGCGGCGCUGAGCGGUGAGCGGCUGCGGGCCGGCGGUUCGUUGUGGGUCGGCGGCUCCUUAUGGGGCCGCGGUUCGUUAUGGGGCCGCGGUUCGUUAUGGGGUUGGCGGCUCCUUAUGGGGCCGCAGUUCGUUAUGGGGUUGGCGGUUCCUUAUGGGGCCGCGGUUCGUUCUGGGGCCGGCGGUUCGUUGUGGGGCGGCGGCUCCUUGUGGGGUCGGCGGCUUCUUGUGGGGCGGCAGUUCUUUCUGGGGCCGGCGGCUCCCUAUGGGGUCGGCGGCUCCUUAUGGGGCCGCGGUUCGCUGUGGGGCCGCAGUUGGUUGUGGGGGCGCAGCGCGGCCCCCUGAGCGGCGGUGCGCUGGGAGGCGGCGCCGCGCGGGGGUCGGGCGGCCGUUCGUCCCCGCCUUGGGGCGCCCCGCGCCGGGCGGCGCCGCUACGCGAGGCCGGGGAUCGGGGGGGCGGUGCGGGCCGCGCGUGGGCCGCGGGGAUUUACGGGCAAAGCGGAUUAAACGCAGCCCCACAACAGCAGCACCGCCCCGCCCCCACCGGGCGCACGGCGCCGCACCGCGUGACGCUGCGGG
rnacentral:lncRNA from 1 species